GCCAGGUGUGGUGGGGGCAUGCCUGUAGUCCAAGCUACUCGGGAGGCUGAGGCAGGAGGAUUGCUUGCACCUAGGAGUUCGAGGCUGCAGUGAGCUAUAAUCAUGCCACUGCAUUCCAGCCUGGGUGAAAGAGCAAGGCCCUGUCUCAU
rnacentral:SRP_RNA from 1 species